rnacentral:rRNA from 1 species
GGCGAACGGGUGAGUAACGCUUCGGAAUCUGCCCAAUGGUGGGGAAUAACCAGCCGAAAGGUUGGCUAAUACCGCAUGAGCCCUACGGGGGAAAGCGGGGGAUCGCAAGACCUCGCGCCGAUGGAUGAGCCGAAGCCGGAUUAGCUAGUUGGUAGGGUAACGGCCUACCAAGGCGACGGUCCGUAGCUGGUCUGAGAGGACGACCAGCCACACUGGGACUGAGACACGGCCCAGACUCCUACGGGAGGCAGCAGUGGGGAAUAUUGGACAAUGGGGGAAACCCUGAUCCAGCGACGCCGCGUGUGUGAAGAAGGCCUGCGGGUUGUAAAGCACUUUUAGUGGGGAUGAAAAGCUCAGGGCUAACACCUCUGGGUCUUGACCUAACCCACAGAAAAAGCACCGGCUAACUCUGUGCCAGCCGCCGCGG